rnacentral:ncRNA from 1 species
AGGGCGGGCCGUGACUGGCGUUCGGAUGGGGCACCAUCGGGGAGCGGCCUGCCGACUAUGGCUGAGCCGCGCGCCUGGGCGAUCCGA